UACGUAGGGUGCGAGCGUUGUCCGGAAUUAUUGGGCGUAAAGAGCUCGUAGGCGGUGUGUCGCGUCGGCCGUGAAAACCUGCAGCUUAACUGUGGGCUUGCGGUCGAUACGGGCAUCACUGGAGUUCGGCAGGGGAGACUGGAAUUCCUGGUGGUAGCGGUGAAAUGCGCAGAUAUCAAGGAGGAACACCGGUGGCGAAGGCGGGUCUCUGGGCCGAUACCUGACGCUGAGGAGCGAAAGCGUGGGGAGCGAACAGGA
rnacentral:rRNA from 1 species